UAGUAUAAGUGACGGUAGUGGGGGGACCUGAUCCAGCCAUGCCGCGUGUGUGAAGAAGGCCUUAUGGUUGUAAAGCACUUUAAGCGAGGAGGAGGCUACUGAGACUAAUACUCUUGGAUAGUGGACGUUACUCGCAGAAUAAGCACCGGCUAACUCUGUGCCAGCAGCCGCGGUAAAAC
rnacentral:rRNA from 1 species